GUUAAAGUGCUCUUGAUGAAAGAUCGUGAAACCAACAAAUCAAGAGGAUUUGCCUUUGUCACCUUUGAAAGUCCAGCAGAUGCUAAGGAUGCAGCCAGAGACAUGAAUGGAAAGGUGAGAUUGCACAAUGAAUACCAUGUAUCCUAGUGCAUAAUAUAGCAUGUGCAAUCCCAACUCUGGUUCAUGGAAGCUCUUGAAUUAUUUUGGUUUUGAAUAUAUACCUCUCCAAGAUCUUCUCACCAUAGCCAAUUUGUAGUACUCUUUUGAAGUAUAUCAUGAGGUGUUUUUUUUUUUUUUUUUUUUGUGGUGCUAGGCAUGCCAAACAAGUGCUCUACCACUGAGCGACAUGCUCAACUGAAGCAUAUUAUGAAAUUCCAGGGUCAAAUGUUGUAGACAAAGUUAUAGAUUGUACCCUUUCUUCCCCCUUGGAUUGGACUUAUGCAUGCUAGUCAAGUGCUCCACCUUGAGUUACAUCCCCAACCAUGGAUUGUGCUCUUAAGUGUUUCUCAGUUCAGAGUAGCAUGUAAUGUUACAGAUAAGCAUUGUAUUUUAUCUUGGGAUCCCUAAACCAUAGCUUGAUGGCUUGGCCUUUAGCAUUGUUUAUUACUUUUGCUUUUUUUUUUUUUUAGGUGGGGGGUACUGGGGAUUGAACCCAGGGGGUGCUUUACCACUGAGCCAUAUCCCCAGUUCUUUGUAUAUUUUAUUUUGAGACUGGGUCUCACUAAGUUGCUAGGGCCUCCGUAAAUUGCUGAGGCUGGCUUUGAACUCAAUCCUCUUGCCUCAGCCUCCUGAGCUGCUAGGAUUACAGACAUGUGACACGAUUCCUGGUUCCUUUUUAUUUUUUGAUACAAGGUCUCACCAAGUUGCUGAGGCUGGCCUCAGCUUGCUAUCCUGCUUCAGUUUCCUGAGUUAACCUGGAGUUGCUGGGAUUAUAGGCAUGUGCCAUUGUACCUAAUCUGGUUAUUAGUUUUGAAAAUGAGCUGAUAUACCUACCUAGCAUUGCUUUAAAUUUUACCAAGUGCACUGAGUUUACUUUAUGCUUUGUAUUCUCAGUGACUGGGUAGACAUUUUAAGUAAGUGGAAAAGUCAUUCUUAGAAUUACUACUUCUAGGAUUUUACUUAGACUAAUUGAUGAACAAAAUUAACUGUAUUUUGGUGUCAAUAGUAUAUAGUGGACCUGUAAGUUCUUUUAAAAUUAUGAUGCAAUUUAACCGUUUUGAUUUUUGUUUAAAGUCCUUAGAUGGAAAAGCCAUCAAGGUGGAACAAGCUACCAAACCAUCAUUUGAAAGUGGUAGACGUGGCCCACCUCCACCUCCAAGAAGCAGAGGCCCUCCCAGAGGUCUUAGAGGAGGAAGAGGAGGAAGUGGAGGAACUAGGGGACCUCCCUCUCGUGGAGGGCACAUGGGUAAUAAUUUAGGUGGAUCUUUGGCUUGGUGUAUAAGAACUGCAAAUCCACGACAGUGUAUACUUUAAGCCCUCGUUGAAAGGCUCUCGCCUUUGAAAUUAAGAAAGAAUAUAUGCUUACCUCUUGAAGUGAUAAUGACUCGAGGAAAACAUGGAAGGUGUCCUAAGUUAAAUGAAUGUUGAUUUAAAUUAUAGAUCACAUUAUUUCUUACCUUAUUACUUAAUGUGUAAGAAAAGUACUUAAAAAAUCUUUUUCAAGAUUCAGUUUGAUACAUUGAGCAUAUGAAAGCAAAACAAUGUGUGUUCUUUGAAAUAACUUUAGAGACUACCCUUCAUUUUCCUUAUUUUCCCAGUCUACAUGACUUCAUGCUUGAUAUUGUGCAAUUGAAAAUAUAAGUUAGACCCCUCAAAGAGAAAAGAUAAAGAGAAGGUAGUAUCAUCAAAUCAUAGAAUUCUUUGUUUUGUUUUGUUUUUUAAAUUCUUGUGUUAACAUAUUUUUUUCUCCUUUCUAAUGUAGAUGAUGGUGGUUAUUCCAUGCAUUUUAACAUGAGUUCUUCCAGGGGACCUCUUCCAGUAAAAAGAGGACCACCACCAAGAAGUGGGGGUCCUCCUCCUAAAAGAUCAGCUCCUUCAGGACCAGUUCGCAGCAGCAGUGGAAUGGGAGGAAGAGGUAAAUGUUGCAUGCAUGACAAUCUGUGCUGUCACCAUAGCACUAAGAAUUAAGAAGUAACUCUUAAAAAUGACCCUUAAGACUUGUUCAGGAAUUCCAGGUGAUCUAGUAACAUGAAGCUAAUGAGUACUCAAAAGAUGUGAAUAACAUUUCUUGAUCUGUGUACGUAUUAUGUUUAAGUCACUACUUUUCAUUGUCUGAAUAUAAUAAGUUCACAUUUUAUUUAACUUUUACCAGGCUACAUUUAAAAAAAUUAUUAUUUUUCCUUAAGCUCCUGUAUCACGUGGAAGAGAUAGUUAUGGAGGCCCACCUCGAAGGGAACCCCUGCCCUCUCGUAGAGAUGUUUAUUUGUCCCCAAGAGAUGAUGGAUAUUCUACUAAAGACAGGUAACACAAAAAAAUGCAGUUUUUUCAUUAAGGUUAAAGGAGAGCUCAUCAAAAGCAUAGACCAAAUUACUUUUGUUUCUAUAGCUAUUCAAGCAGAGAUUACCCAAGUUCUCGUGACACAAGAGAUUAUGCACCACCUCCAAGAGAUUAUACUUACCGUGAUUAUGGUCAUUCCAGUUCACGUGAUGACUAUCCAUCAAGAGGCUAUAGGUAAGUGAGUGCUUCCAUGGCUCAAGUAUAAUAUUUUAUUGUAAAAGUUGGUGCUCUGGGACUCAAAGGUUUUUCUCUUUAAUUUAGUGAUAGAGAUGGAUAUGGUCGUGAUCGUGAUUAUUCAGAUCAUCCAAGUGGAGGUUCCUACAGAGAUUCAUAUGAGAGUUAUGGUAAGAUACUGUUAAGAGUCUUGAGUUUCAGCAGCUUGAGUUUUUAGGUUCAUGAGCCAGUUUAAUAGGCUGCGUGGUGCUUGCUUUUAAAGGGACGUUUGCUUGCUUUUUUAAAGGGUUAACUAUCAGCUGGGCUUUUCCUAGUUUUGUGAGGGGCUUUUGUUCUUUCCUAAGUUUUUUUUUUUCUUUUGAGGCUGUUCGCUUGCUUUGGAGGGGAUUUUGCUUGCUUAAAUUGGCAGCCUUAUGUGUUUUCCCCCAACAGUGAAAAUACAAUUUAAAAAUUUUAUUAACAAGAUCAAAUGUUUACCAUUGCAAUAUGAAGGAAACUCUACAGUUCAAAAUUGCAACUUAUCACUGGAAAGUGGCUGAGUGUCUACUAUAAAAUAACAAGCUGGAAUAUCCUCUUGAAAUACACACCGUCUUCAGUCUUUUCAAACAAACAUUAAAAUCAAUCCAUUUCCAUAUCUCAGCAGAUGAGCAAAUCCUUGUUAUGGCCAGCAAUGGUAGAGUUUAAAACCUCCCAGUUGAGAAAGUAAACUUUUAAUACAAGAAUUCUGUAAAUUCAGAUUUAAAUGUUGUAUAUAUACAAUUUAUAGUGUUGCCAUAUUACCUGACCAUUGACCCUGCAGGUAACUCACGUAGUGCUCCACCUACACGAGGGCCCCCGCCAUCUUAUGGUGGAAGCAGUCGCUAUGAUGAUUACAGCAGCUCACGUGACGGAUAUGGUGGAAGUCGAGACAGUUACUCAAGCAGCCGAAGUGAUCUCUACUCAAGUGGUCGUGAUCGGGUUGGCAGACAAGAACGAGGGCUUCCCCCUUCUAUGGAAAGGGGGUACCCUCCUCCACGUGAUUCCUACAGCAGUUCAAGCCGCGGAGCACCAAGAGGUGGUGGCCGUGGAGGAAGCCGAUCUGAUAGAGGGGGAGGCAGAAGCAGAUACUAGAAACAAACAAAACUUUGGACCAAAAUUCCCCGUUCAAAGAAACAAACAAAAAGUGGAAACCAUUCUGUCAUAACUACCCAAGGACUACUAAAAGGAAAAAUUGUGUUACCUUUUUUAAAUUUCCUGUUAAGUUCCCCUUCAUAAUUUUUUAUGUUCUUGUGAGGGAAAAAAAGUAAAACAUGUUUAAUUUCAUUUGAUUUUGAGUUGCUUUCAACAAGCAAAUGUUAAGUGUGUAAGACUUGUUGUACUAGUGUUGUAAUUUUCCAAGUUAAAGUGUCCCUGAAGGCCACUUCCUAUCCAGUUUUACCCAGUAAAUGAGGCAAGCAAUUCUAAGAUCUUCCACAAACAUCUAGCCAUCUAGAUGUCCAUUGAUCUCCACUGAGAGAUGAAUCGUUCUGCCUAUACAAAAAAGCUAGCUAAUAGGGGGUGGUUGGGGUAUGCUACUCUUAGGAUUUCAGGGUGUCUUCCAACUGAAAUCUCAAUGUUCUCAGUAUACAAAACCUGAGAUCAGAUAUCUAUGUAAGGAAAGUACUAUUCACCCAGUAAAUCCCCCUUCCCCCCAAAAAAAACCAAAUGGAUAAUGCUGGCCAUAUUUUGCCUUUCUGACAUUUCCUUGGGAAUCCGCAAGAACCUCCCUUUCCCCCUCCCCCAAUAAGACCAUUUAAGUGUGUGUUAAACAACUACAGAAUACUAAAUAAAAAGUUUGGCCAAAACCAACCAUGAAGCUGCAAACGAUGCUUGCUCUUACUGUUUCAAAUUUUUGCAACUCUGUAGUGUCUCACUUUUAAAGGAACAGCUUGAUUGCAAAGGAGAAAAUAGAUAAGCAAUGAAGUUAUCUCCAACUUCCUAAAGGCUUAUGACUUCUAAAAAGUGAAUCUAUCAGCAUUCCACAUCAGAUUUAAAGCACCAAAUGCCUGUGAAACAGCAAAGAUGGUAAGCAAAGCAAACUAGUUUUUCCGUCUAAGUCGAAAUUGAACACUUACCUUCCUCAUAGUACAGUGAAACAUACUGUACCUCAUGGCAAUGGAAAUGUGCCUUCUAGAUUAAAAAAAAAAACCUUUUGGAAAAGCAAAUGUUCAAUAGCAUAUUAGAAGUCCUCCAAAUUCAACACUUGGAUUUUUUUUUUUAAAGCAUGUGUGACACUUAAAGGCCUUAAUACAGCUGUUUACCAGUACCAAUCUGGGGCUUGGGAGGGGGUAUUUUUUAAAGUAUUUUUGAUGAAGACCUUUAAACAUGCUUCAUAUGUUUUUAACAUUUUUUUUUUUCAAAUUAGUCUUAGUCAAUAUAAGAAAUGGCUUAGGUUUGGGGUCCCCUCUCUUACCCCUGUAAGCCAUUGCAAACUUGACCUUUAGUUGGAUGCCUGACUUGUUUUUAGUUCUAUGAAACUACACUGUAUGGAGAAAAUCUAUUGCAAGUGGUCUUUAAAAAGCAAAACCUGAGGCAGCAUGACCCAGGUCCAGCCAUGAAGUUGAAAAAGAUGCUCUUGAAUAUAGUAAACUUGAAGACCUCCAACUAAAAAUCCUUAUACGCACUUAUUCCUUCAAAUAAAUGUUUUGUCCGUUCAACUUAUGGAUUUAACGUGGCAGUGCACCAUUGGAACAGAAUGAGAAUCCAUAAGCCAUGCAACUUAACCAUUUAAGCCAUUCCAGUCCAUCCCAAGCCAGUGAAUCUUCCACUACUUAAGAGAACUAGUAGAACAUGAAAUACAUUAAUCUGGAAGUCUGAACUUGCCUUUCUGGAAAGAGGGCAGUUAUAGGCAAGUUUUAAAGUUUCCUUAAGAGAGAUAACUAGUUUUCAUCUGUUUAAUUUUUGCAGGUUGAGGACUUAUGGUCAUUGUGGUCAUGGAGUGCUGAUUUAUUCACAAUAGAUAAAGCUGGCAGCAGGAGAAAUCAAAUGCUAAGGUAAGUUUUGAAAGCACUGGCCUUUCAAGGUUUAAAUAGUAUUUGUAGUUUUGCCACUGUCAAGCUGUGGUGUUGGCAAGUUUUUUUUUUUUUUUUUUUUCCUGAUCCACACUUCAUCUGCAAAAGGGGAUAUAAUAUACAACUCUUGGAAAUUAGGUUAGAUUAUUUAACGUGUGUUAUCUGGCACAUCCAUUUUUUUUAAAGAGAAUUUUAAUAUUUAUUUUUUAGUUUUUGGCGGACACAACAUCUUUGUUUGUAUGUGGUGCUGAGGAUCGAACCUGGGCCGCACGCAUGCCAGGCAAGCGCGCUACCGCUUGAGCCACAUCCCCAGCCCUGGCACAUCAAUUUUGAAUGUAGAGGGAGGUUAUAUAGGUAUAUUUCCAGUAAUAAUACUAUUAGUCAUGCAAUAUUCUUGGCUGUUUAAAACCAAUUGCAAAUAUCUUUUCAUAUUGCAAGAGUUCUCUUGACAGGAUCUGUGUAUACAGGUAAUACUUUGGUAUGUGAGCAGACUUUACAUGAAGUUUGGGCUUCAGUGAAUUUUCUCAGUGCUUGCUUAUUUGUAUAGCUAUAAUACAAAUUGACUAAAUGGAGAGUUAUUGAUAUCAAUUAUAAGAAAAAGUAUGUAUUUAGGAAUGAUGGGGGGUGUUGGGGUACUAUGCAGUAUAAAACAAAUGCUUUACCUUGUAACUUGAUCCCAUGCUUUUUUACAGAGUUGUUGAAGCAGAAGAAUGCUGAUUGUCGAUCAGUCACAGCAGUCGCAUAAGCAGUGCUCGUCAGAAUUGGUUUGGUGCAGGCAAUAGAUUUUUGUCUUCAAGGGUUCUUGUGGAUCUGAGGAAGGCAUUAGUGUUGGUUAACACUCUUAACUAGGGAGUGGUAGUUACUUAAAAUUGACCAAAUGG
rnacentral:lncRNA from 1 species